rnacentral:rRNA from 1 species
UACGUAGGCAGCGAGCGUUGUUCGGAGUUACUGGGCGUAAAGGGUGUGUAGGCGGUUGUUUAAGUUUGGUGUGAAAUCUCCCGGCUCAACUGGGAGGGUGCGCCGAAUACUGAAUGACUUGGAGUGCGGGAGAGGAAAGUGGAAUUCCUGGUGUAGCGGUGAAAUGCGUAGAUAUCGGGAGGAACACCAGUGGCGAAGGCGGCGAUCUGGGAAGAUACUGACGCUGAGGUGCGAAAGCGUGGGGAGCAAACAGG